UGAGGAAUCUUCCACAAUGGGCGAAAGCCUGAUGGAGCAACGCCGCGUGCAGGAUGAAGGCCUUCGGGUCGUAAACUGCUUUUAUAAGUGAAGAAUAUGACGGUAGCUUAUGAAUAAGCACCGGCUAACUACGUGCCAGCAGCCGCGGUCAUAAGUAGGGUGCAAGCAUUAUCCGGAGUGACUGGGCGUAAAGAGUUGCGUAGGUGGUUUGUUAAGUGAAUAGUGAAAUCUGGUGGCUCAACCAUUCAGACUAUUAUUCAAACUGACAAACUCGAGAGUAGUAGAGGUAACUGGAAUUUCUAGUGUAGGAGUGAAAUCCGUAGAUAUUAGAAGGAACACCAAUGGCGUAGGCAGGUUACUGGGCUAUUUCUGACACUAAAGCACGAAAGCGUGGGGAGCGAACC
rnacentral:rRNA from 1 species